rnacentral:rRNA from 1 species
UACGUAGGGCGCAAGCGUUGUCCGGAAUUAUUGGGCGUAAAGAGCUCGUAGGCGGCUCAGUAAGUCAGGUGUGAAACCUCCAGGCUCAACCUGGAGACGCCACCUGAUACUGCUGUGGCUAGAGUCCGGUAGGGGAGCGUGGAAUUCCUGGUGUAGCGGUGAAAUGCGCAGAUAUCAGGAGGAACACCAGCGGCGAAGGCGGCGCUCUGGGCCGGAACUGACGCUGAGGAGCGAAAGCGUGGGUAGCAAACAGG